AAGGUGUGGGAAGAUGAAAGAGGCGUGGAAAGACACUUAAUUGGCUCUGUGUUCCCUGUGUCUUUAUGUAAUCAUGAGGAGAUCUUAUAUAAAGAACCCAAGGAGGAAGAAGAGGGAAGCCAGAGUACUGUCGAUGGGUGGACCCUCUCUGGGCACCCAGCUUGUUUGAGGAUGGCAGCCAGCAGUGACACAGCAGAAAAACCUGCCUCUGAAGAAACGUGCGCCUGUCCACACUGGGGUCUCCCUACAGCCCUCAGUCCACCACGCCCCAAGCUCGAACUCCAUUCCCCGGGGUGUGGGACGCCUAGAGGACUCUGCUCCCUGGCAGGGGACGACAAUCACCGCACAGAAUGCGGGCUGCUGCAGCCAGGGAAGCAAUGACUCAGCAUGGUCCUGUGGCCGGGAAAGAGGGAGCGGCACAGAGCCAUGUGGAGCCCCAGUGUGAGGACCUCUACCCCUGAUGUCUCUUUUGAUUGUCCCUUGCUCUCUGUGACAGGUCACACCACCGCCCGCGUGCAGCUUCUUGAGUCACCCACGCUGCGCACAGAAGUCUCGUCUAUGCGGGUUGCAAGACAUCCUAGCAGGAGAACCCCCUUUUCACUAGCCUGUGCCUCCCGGUCACUAGGGGAGGACCAUUGUCCAUAAGUACCAUUGUCCGCUUUGUCCAAAGAUCUCUCCUCAUGCUUCUGCAAGGCUUCUGAUUUCCUGCCUCUCCCACCAGCCUGCUUUCAGCAUUAAAAAAAAAAAAAAAAACUAGAAAAGUUACAAUAUUGAACUUUAAGCCUUAGAAAUGCUGAAGCGCCAGCUCCCCCACUCCCAACCCCACGCAAGAAGAGAAGGCUUGCGUGUCGGAGAAAAUGAAACAAAAAUGUCCUGUACUCUCUGUCACUCAAACUGCGUGACUGCAAAGACCCUCAACUCUGGGAGCAAAAACUGCAGGCGACGCCCUAGGAGGCUCUCGCCGUCCCCGCGCUGCUCCAGGCCACCAGCAGAGGCGCUGUCGGAGCAGCAAACUCCCGAACAAAGGAGGGAUUUCAGUGGGAAGAUGAAUUCCUCGCACACCUUUCCAGGGAAGAGGGCACCCCAAAAAGUUCUUCCAAAAGAAAGGCCUUGGAGACGUAGCUCCCUGUCUCCCAUUUAGUCGUCUGUCAACCCUUUAAAUAAUAAUAAAGUAUAGGUUAAAACACACACACACACACACACACACACACACACACACACACACACACACACCCCCAAAUAGUCUGAAUUAAGCUUUUUUUAUCUACCAACCUCCUUAAAUUGAUCUCUGGGAUCCCCCAAAAAUUUAUAGAAAAAUUAUAUGAAUGCCUACGAUACCCACCCUACAUUCUUUGGACUUGUUCUUUAUGUCUCUCAGAGAAGGGCACCCCUCUAAGGUUGGUUUUCAUCACUUUCAGAGUAAGACCAGUGGAGAAAGGGUUAUUCAUUUGUCUGUUCUUACAGAUACAGACCACGCACCCCUCCUGCAGCUCAUACCCCCGGGUUCUCUUUCAGAAUAGAAGUUUGGUUCUUUCCCUUUGUUUUACUACUUGGCAAUUUGUGGUUACGUCAUUUUUGUUUGCCUUUUGCCUUGAAUUGGUUAACCACAGCCUCUCCUUGGCCGUGUCCCCGCAGAAAGGUUGCCUAAUGACAUAGCAGAACUAUAAACUAAACGGGUGUCAGUGACAAAGCAGAAUCUCAGGGCUUUGGAGACUUCUUAAUGAGCCAUCAUUCCUGCCUCUGGCUAGACCUGCCGAUGAGAUAAUGUCUCUGGCUGAGGAGAACUUGGACUGUAACCUGUUAAUGGCCAGGGAGCCAUAGAUCUCCGUGUACGUCUCGGGAACAACGUUGGUACAUGUGGGUGUUGGGCGUUUGCUUUCUGCUCCUGCUGCAGCUUAGAUCAGGAGAUCUUUUUGAGGACAGCACAGUCAAACAGAAAUGUGACCCCACAGUGCUAUGUAGCUCAUGUGGGAGCAGGCCCUGUUGUCACAGACACGAGAAAAGUUAAUGCUACACGAUAAGAACAGAGGUCGAGCCUGGAAGGUUCCUUGCUUGUCAUACUCUUUAAUUACCCUGAAAUAGCCCAGAGACAUCACCCUUGGAGAACAGUCUCCUUUCUUCAAUGAGAAACAGAGGCACAGAGAAGUUGGGGUGCAUGCAACUUGAGGAUACACAUCUCCUGAUACUCUGCACAGUGCCUCAACCAUGGUCCAGAUGUAUUAACCAAAAUAAUUGGCAAGUUAUGUCUAAAAUCGCUACUAUGCUUUGCCAGGAACCAACAUUUCAAGGUUACUCGGACUUUGAUCUAAAUCUGAUGUAUCUUUGUGGUUUUUACCUUUAAAAAUUCUUUAUCCCUGACCUUGGCCACCAAGAUACCUUUUGGAGGCUCAAGUGUACUCUUGGGUCUGGCCAUCCAUGAAAAGGACUUGAAACUUUUCACUGCUUUAAUUGGCUGAAUCAGUGUCUUCCUUCCUUCCUUCCUUCCUUCCUUCCUUCCUUCCUUCCUUCCUUUGUUUUGGCUUGUUUUAUUUGUUUAUUUAUUUAUUUUUGAGACAGCAUUUCUCUGUAGCCCUAGCUAUCUUGGAACUCAAUUUGUAGACUAGCUGGCCUCAAACUCAGGGAUCCGCCUCUGCCUCAGUCAGAGAGAAAAACCUGCACCUCACAAGCUUGCUCCAUUCCAUCCCGAUUCUACCACUUCUUUGUUAAAGAAUGCAUUAACAGGGCUGGGGAGGUGUCUCUAGAGCUAAGAGCACUUACUAUUCUUCCAGAGGACCUGAGUUCAGUUCCCAGCACCUGGAAGGUUGUCUCAUAACUGCCUCUCAGUCCAGCUGCCAAGCACCCAGAUUCCUCUUCUGGUCCUAGGCACUCUUGUACACACACCCACAUCUAAUGUACAUACACACAUACACAUAAUUAAAAAAUAAACCUUUUUAAAAAUGUAUUUCUUAAAAGUGUCAUUUUACUAAAAAUAGGAGUAUACAGAAGGGUUUUUAUUCUUUGAAUGUUGCUUACAACCCAUCAUUUGCACUCUUUAAUACACUUUCUGGAAACUUCUGUGGUAAGUUGUAGUGAGAUCUUUAUUCCGUGUUUGAAAACACACUCUCACUAAAUGCCCUUUAAAUUUAACCAUAUUUCCAGCCCAAACCAAACGUGAGCAAUCUUAGUGACUUCAUUACGCAUUGUUUGCCCUGUGUGUUUUUACCCUAUACGUAACCUGCACGUUUUAAAGGAAAGAAUCAUGGUACAGCUUGAGAUCUCUUUAGGUCUCAUAUGCCUUAUUCUAGCCAGAGGAAUGACAUUACAAGACCCUUGAGGACGUGGCAAGUGAUGACAUUGGAUACGCCCCAAUGAAUUAUUGACACUGAUUUCUUUAUGUUUAUUGUUUUUAAAGAAAAAAGACACUACAGUGAUCAGGGCCCCCCGAAUUCCUUACACUGUGAAUCAGCUUCCCCUGGUUCCUUCUAACAUAAUAAAGCCGUGGAGCUGAGAGGCUCUUACUUAUUGCUCCUAAAACUCAGACUCACGGAAACAGUGUAAGUGCACACCAGGGACAAGGCAAAUUGCCGAGGAAAAAAAGAGCCAGCCUCACAACUCAGAACCCUAAAUCCCAAUGCCAUCUUGUCGGCUCCCUGCAGCUAGCAGCCCUGCUCAGCUCCCAGCUCCAAAUCUCCAAGACCCAACUGCAUUUAUUCUGGAUAUGUCUCUCCCUUUAGCUCACAGCCUGAUGCUGACAGUGACUGGCUGCAGCCGGCUCGUUUAUGAAAAGAGCUUUUAGAUGGAUUAAAAUGUCAGGCACCUGGACAGCUUAAAUUGAAAGCUAGAGGUGUUUUUUCUGAGUGCAAAACUCCCUCCUGCAUAAUCCCUCCCACUUCCCCAUGCAAGGAGGUGUCAGUGUGAAGGGAGACAAAGUGGCCGAAGGGUCAUUAAACAAUACAUCUCAGGAUGUGUAAAGUGAGUGACUGAGCUGCAUGCUGACCCACAGUGAGAGAGAUUCCAUUUCUCUUCCACUCCAGCGUGUAAUGAUCCAUGCCAGCCAGUUAUUGAAAACCGCACUGCACUCGGGAGACCGGAGCCGAUCCCUGAGUUUGAGGCCAGCUGGGCUACAAAUUGAGUUCCAGGAUAGCUAGGGCUACACAGAGAAAUGCUGCCUCAAGAUAAAUAAAUAAACAAACAAACAAACAGAACAAGCCAAAACAAAGGAAGGAAGGAAGGAAGGAAGGAAGGAAGGAAGGAAGGAAGGAAGGAAGGAAGGAAGACACUGAUUCAGCCAAUUAAAGCAGUGAAAAGUUUCAAGUCCUUUUCAUGGAUGGCCAGACCCAAGAGUACACUUGAGCCUCCAAAAGGUAUCUUGGUGGCCAAGGUCAGGGAUAAAGAGUUUUUAAAGGUAAAAACCACAAAGAUACAUCAGACUUAGAUCAAAGUCCGAGUAACCUUGAAAUGUUGGUUCCUGGCAAAGCAUAGUAGCGAUUUUAGACAUAACUUGCCAAUUAUUUUGGUUAAUACAUCUGGACCAUGGUUGAGGCACUGUGCAAAGUAUCAGGAGAUGUGUAUCCUCAAAUUGCAUGCACCCCAACUUCUCUGUGCCUCUGUUUCCCAUUGAAGAAAGGAGACUGUUCUCCAAGGGUGACGUCUCUGAGCUAUUUCAGGCAAUGGAGGAGUAUGAGGAGCAAGGAACCUUCCAGUCUGGCUCCCCUGGUCUGCUCUUGCCCCUCUGUCUCCCAUACUUUACUCCCCUCACUCAGCCAAAGCUUUUUCAAAGGAAGAAUCUGAUAGCUACUGAUGAUGCCUUAAGGGACUGUGCAUCGAGGUAGAAAUUCCACCAGGGACAGUGACAUUCUAAGACCUGUGUGAAUUUCAAAUGGGUGGGUUUGGGUCUAGUACGUAAAGUAUUUGAAUGAGGCAUUAACAGCUUAGAAGAUAAAAGAUGCCAUGAAUGAUAUUUCAAAAAAGGGAGAAGGACUAGGGAGAUGGCUUCGUGGUUAAGAAUGCUUGCUGCUCUUACAGAGGACUUGUAUUCUGUUCCCAGCACCCACAUCUGGCAGCUCACAACUAUCUGGAACUCCCAUUCCAGGGGAUCCAACUCCCUCUUCUGGCCUCCAGGGCCACCUGCACUCACAUGUACAUCUCUGCUAAGACAUAUACAUACACACAAAAUUAAAAAUAAAAUAAAAAUAAACAACAACAAAAGGACAAGGGGUUGGGAGCUGCCUCAGCAAGUAAAGGCCCUUGCUGCACAAACCUUAUGAUCCCAGAACCCACUCAAGAGUUCAAGGAAAGAAAUUACAAAGUUGUCCUCCAACUUUUACAUGUGUGUUCUGCACAUGUAGGACCACACAUGCAUUAUACACAGACACAACAUUCACAUCAUAUACACACAUAAUACACACACACACACACACACACACACACAUACUAAAGUUCACACACACACAAAACAACGACUAAGAAAUUAAAAGACAAAAUAAUGGAACUGGAGAGGUAAGUCAGUGAUUAAGAGAACUGUUGUUCUUUCAGAGUACUUGCUCUGGGUUCCCUGCUCCCAAAUGGUGGCUCUCAAUAGUCUGUGACCACAGUUCCAGAGAUCUGAUGCCCUCUUCUGGCCUCUGAGGGUACCAGGCAUGCACGUGGUGCAUAUAGAGCCAUACAGGUAAACACUCAUAUAUAUAAAAUAAAAAAAAUGUAAAAAAAGAAACAAACACUGUAGCUCACUAUAACCAGACAAUGACCAGUUAAAACAAUGCCAAUCAUGUAAUAGAGAUCUAAAUAAUGGAUGCACUCAACACUGAUGAGAUUUGGGGGUUUUUCACACUCAAUUGGAGACUCUACGAACUUAAACACUGUCCACAUGCUUUGGAUAAGUAAAUUCUGUGACUGCAGCCUGAGGGAAUGCUACAACGUGGGACAAAAUUUAUGUGUAUGUCUUGCCUAUGUGUGUUAAUAAGAAAUCUGGAAUCUAUUUUCUCAUCCAACUGUAUGACAUACAUGUGACUCAUCACUUUGGAAGAAUACUAAACAGCCUUUCAAAUGAACUGUGGAUAUUUAAUGAAAACAUUUAUUUGAAAACAUGUUUUUCACAUAUACAACAUUACAUUAAAAGUUAGGAUAAAUGAUUACAUAGAGUACGACCCCACUUUAGAUAAAAUCUUAUAUAAACAUAAUAUUGCAAUGAAAACUUUUUUUUAUAGAUGUUUAAAAAAUUUUCCUUAUAGACUCCCCCCCCCAUACUAGACAUGUGGCUUCUCAAAACUUCUGUUAAGAUGAGGAGGGUCUUGAAUUUCUGACGUUCAUGCCUCCACUCCCCUAGUCCUGGGAUGACAAGUGUGUGCCACCACACCUGGCUUUACACCGUGCGGGGAACCAAACCCAGGGCUCAUGCAAGCCAGGCAAGAACUCCAGCAGCUGAGCACAUCCCCGGGACGAGACACAGGCGCACCAGCAGACAUCUGCGGGCAGGUCACACCAAAACCAACCCAGUAGAUACUUGUGGGUUCUGGGUUUGUACUAGGGCGUUUGCUACACAAGAAGAUCGGUGGGUGACCUCUGGGAGAGAGCUCUGGGACCGGCAGUUCCACCCUGCACACAGCACAGGCCAUCUGCUGUCACUGAAGCUGGGACACGCAGGCUUUUAUGGUUAGAUUCUCUGAGGUUUCCUCACCCCCUCGCCUGCUUGCUCCAAUGAACACUUUGUCCCACAGGCGGUAAACGCAAAGAAAGGCUUGCGAUAUCACGGAAUGCCAGGAAACGUGGUAAAGAGCGUGCGAUGGAGCAGGGUCUAGACAAAACACAGUUCUGCAAGAGAUAUGAAAAUCCCGCGUUGCACCGUUUCCUGAGAACCACCCUUGCGACUGUUGGCUAGAAAAAUACUAUCCAUGAUGGGAAAAGGAAAUACAAUAUCCAUCUCUCCUCUUUCUCCCCAAACCCUCGGCUUCAAUAUCACAUGGUUGGAUGGAAACAGCAGGGGCUCAGCUGUAAUUACCUUAUAAAUAAUGAAUAAGGCCCUAUUAUUAUUACUUAAAAAAUCCCAUUUUGGAAUGAGUCUCUUGAUAGCAGCCGAAGCUUAAUUUAGCUAAAUAACUAUUCUGCAUUAGCUAAUGUGGCCCAUUAUUUUUAGGCUCAAAAGAUAUUUCCAGAUGUACUAUGACAGGGGUGAUUUAUCACUGUUCUGGGGGCCACAGUCAUGACAUGCCAGGGCUGUAUCUGGGUUUAUUAUCAGUUUCCACUGAGACACUGGCUAAAUUAGUUUAGUCGUGUAUUAUCCAUAGGCUGUUUGUGGGAGACACUGGUCUGUCCAGUGUUCUGCGUUUGGAGAGUUCAAGCCUCACAUAAACCCCCUUAAAAAUACUUUUGAUAUGAAGUUAUAAAGCUAUUGGAAGUAACUAGGUAGACAGAUAACAGAGUCUUAGCUUUGCGCAUUUUCCUUGUUGAUUUGAAUGUGCUUGUAUUCAAAGACAGCCUGCCAAAAUAAUGUGAUCACUUCUGAGUGAAGAAUUAUUAAAAUCAUGAUAUUUUUUCCCUUCUGGCUAUGUUUCUAUGUUUUCUGCUGUAGGAAUAUGUUAACUAUUAUACCCAGGAAAGAAAAGGUUUCAAUAAAGCAUGUCAUUCUGA